rnacentral:rRNA from 1 species
UACGGAGGGGGCGAGCGUUGUUCGGAAUUAUUGGGCGUAAAGGGCGCGUAGGCGGCUUGUCAAGUCAAAGGUGAAAUCCCUCGGCUCAACUGAGGAACUGCCUUUGAAACUAGCGAGCUUGAGGCCGGGAGGGGGUAGCGGAAUUCCCAGUGUAGCGGUGAAAUGCGUAGAUACUGGGAGGAACACCAGUGGCGAAGGCGGCUACCUGGACCGGUUCUGACGCUGAGGCACGAAAGCGUGGGGAGCAAACAGG